GUGUGACUUAGUUUAUUUAGAACUGCCAACUUGCACUUGGCUAGAGAGGCUCCUCAGUGAC
rnacentral:tRNA from 1 species